UAUAACCUACCCUGGGGUUGGGCAUAGCCGUUCUAACGAACGGGUAAUUCCCAGCGAUUCGGCGCGGUGGCAUCAUCGUGCCGGGAAAGAUUUAUCGCCUCGGGAGGGGUCCAUAUCGUAUUACCUAGUUGGUGAGGUAACGGCUCACCAAGGGGAAGAUGCGUAGCGGGUGUGAGAGCACGACCCGCGCCACUGGCACUGUGACACUGGCCAGACACCUACGGGUGGCUGCAGUCGAGGAUCUUCGUCAAUGGACGCAAGUCUGAACGAGCGACGCCGCGUGUGCGAUGAAGGCCUUCGGGUUGUAAAGCACAAAAGUGGGGAUAAAAGCCGAAAGGUCUGAUUGAUCCACAGUAAGCUCGGGCUAAGUUCGUGCCAGCAGCCGCGGUAAGACGAACCGAGCGAACGUUGUUCGGAAUCACUGGGCUUAAAGGGCGCGUAGGCGGGCGAUCAAGUCGGUGGUGAAAUCCUACAGCUUAACUGUAGAACUGCCCCCGAUACUGGUUGUCUCGAGGAAGGUAGGGGCGUGCGGAACAGUUGGUGGAGCGGUGAAAUGCGUUGAUAUCAACUGGAACUCCGGUGGCGAAGGCGGCACGCUGGACCUUUUCUGACGCUGAGGCGCGAAAGCCAGGGGAGCAAACGGGAUUAGAUACCCCGGUAGUCCUGGCCCUAAACGAUGGGUACUAGAUAGUAGUCUGUCAUGGGAUUACUGUCGAAGUUAAAAUGCUAAGUACCCCGCCUGGGGAGUAUGGUCGCAAGGCUGAAACUCAAAGGAAUUGACGGGGGCUCACACAAGCGGUGGAGCAUGUGGCUUAAUUCGAGCCUACGCGAAGAACCUUAUCCUAGACUUGACAUGUGCGAAAGCGUGAGGAAGUAGAAUCUGGAAACAGAAACGAACGGUAUCCAGUCCGGAACCUCAUACAGGUGCUGCAUGGCUGUCGUCAGCUCGUGUCGUGAGGUGUCGGGUUAAGUCCCAUAACGAGCGAAACCCUUACCCUUAGUUGCGACCUUAAUUGGGCACUCUAGGGGGACUGCCGGUGUUAAACCGGAGGAAGGCGGGGAUGACGUCAAGUCCUCAUGGCCUUUACGUCUAGGGCUGCACACGUGCUACAAUGGCGUGAACAAAGGGAAGCGAACUCGCGAGAGGGAGCAAAUCCCAGAAAACACGCCCCAGUUCAGAUCGGAGGCUGCAACUCGCCUCCGUGAAGUUGGAAUCGCUAGCAAUCGCGGGUCGGCAACACCGCGGUGAAUGUGUUCCUGAGCCUUGUACACACCGCCCGUCAAGCCACGAAAGAGAGGAGCGCCCGAAGCCGCUUACGCGUCGAAGGCGAGACUCUUGAUUGGGACC
rnacentral:rRNA from 1 species